GACGAACGCUGGCGGCGUGCCUAACACAUGCAAGUCAACUUGACUGAAGGAGCAAUCUGACAGUAGAGUGGCGCAAGGGUGCGUAACGCGUAAGUAACUUGCCCAAGGUAAGGAAUAACGUCGAGAAUCGGCGCUAAUACCUCAUAAUGCAGCGGAUCCGCAUGGAUAUGUUGUUAAAGGUUUACCGCCUUGGGAUAGGCUUGCGUCUGAUUAGCUAGUUGGUGUGGUAACGGCACACCAAGGCUACGAUCAGUAACUGGUCUGAGAGGAUGAUCAGUCACACUGGAACUGAGACACGGUCCAGACUCCUACGGGAGGCAGCAGUGAGGAAUAUUGGGCAAUGCUCGAAAGAGUGACCCAGCAACGCCGCGU
rnacentral:rRNA from 1 species